AUGCCCUGGCAGUCAGAGGCGAUGAAGGACGUGCUAAUCUGCGAUAAGCGUCGGUAAGGUGAUAUGAACCGUUAUAACCGGCGAUUUCCGAAUGGGGAAACCCAGUGUGUUUCGACACACUAUCAUUAACUGAAUCCAUAGGUUAAUGAGGCGAACCGGGGGAACUGAAACAUCUAAGUACCCCGAGGAAAAGAAAUCAACCGAGAUUCCCCCAGUAGCGGCGAGCGAACGGGGAGCAGCCCAGAGCCUGAAUCAGUGUGUGUGUUAGUGGAAGCGUCUGGAAAGGCGCGCGAUACAGGGUGACAGCCCCGUACACAAAAAUGCACAUGCUGUGAGCUCGAUGAGUAGGGCGGGACACGUGGUAUCCUGUCUGAAUAUGGGGGGACCAUCCUCCAAGGCUAAAUACUCCUGACUGACCGAUAGUGAACCAGUACCGUGAGGGAAAGGCGAAAAGAACCCCGGCGAGGGGAGUGAAAAAGAACCUGAAACCGUGUACGUACAAGCAGUGGGAGCACGCUUAGGCGUGUGACUGCGUACCUUUUGUAUAAUGGGUCAGCGACUUAUAUUCUGUAGCAAGGUUAACCGAAUAGGGGAGCCGAAGGGAAACCGAGUCUUAACUGGGCGUUAAGUUGCAGGGUAUAGACCCGAAACCCGGUGAUCUAGCCAUGGGCAGGUUGAAGGUUGGGUAACACUAACUGGAGGACCGAACCGACUAAUGUUGAAAAAUUAGCGGAUGACUUGUGGCUGGGGGUGAAAGGCCAAUCAAACCGGGAGAUAGCUGGUUCUCCCCGAAAGCUAUUUAGGUAGCGCCUCGUGAAUUCAUCUCCGGGGGUAGAGCACUGUUUCGGCAAGGGGGUCAUCCCGACUUACCAACCCGAUGCAAACUGCGAAUACCGGAGAAUGUUAUCACGGGAGACACACGGCGGGUGCUAACGUCCGUCGUGAAGAGGGAAACAACCCAGACCGCCAGCUAAGGUCCCAAAGUCAUGGUUAAGUGGGAAACGAUGUGGGAAGGCCCAGACAGCCAGGAUGUUGGCUUAGAAGCAGCCAUCAUUUAAAGAAAGCGUAAUAGCUCACUGGUCGAGUCGGCCUGCGCGGAAGAUGUAACGGGGCUAAACCAUGCACCGAAGCUGCGGCAGCGACGCUGAUGCGUUGUUGGGUAGGGGAGCGUUCUGUAAGCCUGCGAAGGUGUGCUGUGAGGCAUGCUGGAGGUAUCAGAAGUGCGAAUGCUGACAUAAGUAACGAUAAAGCGGGUGAAAAGCCCGCUCGCCGGAAGACCAAGGGUUCCUGUCCAACGUUAAUCGGGGCAGGGUGAGUCGACCCCUAAGGCGAGGCCGAAAGGCGUAGUCGAUGGGAAACAGGUUAAUAUUCCUGUACUUGGUGUUACUGCGAAGGGGGGACGGAGAAGGCUAUGUUGGCCGGGCGACGGUUGUCCCGGUUUAAGCGUGUAGGCUGGUUUUCCAGGCAAAUCCGGAAAAUCAAGGCUGAGGCGUGAUGACGAGGCACUACGGUGCUGAAGCAACAAAUGCCCUGCUUCCAGGAAAAGCCUCUAAGCAUCAGGUAACAUCAAAUCGUACCCCAAACCGACACAGGUGGUCAGGUAGAGAAUACCAAGGCGCUUGAGAGAACUCGGGUGAAGGAACUAGGCAAAAUGGUGCCGUAACUUCGGGAGAAGGCACGCUGAUAUGUAGGUGAAGUCCCUUGCGGAUGGAGCUGAAAUCAGUCGAAGAUACCAGCUGGCUGCAACUGUUUAUUAAAAACACAGCACUGUGCAAACACGAAAGUGGACGUAUACGGUGUGACGCCUGCCCGGUGCCGGAAGGUUAAUUGAUGGGGUCAGCGCAAGCGAAGCUCUUGAUCGAAGCCCCGGUAAACGGCGGCCGUAACUAUAACGGUCCUAAGGUAGCGAAAUUCCUUGUCGGGUAAGUUCCGACCUGCACGAAUGGCGUAAUGAUGGCCAGGCUGUCUCCACCCGAGACUCAGUGAAAUUGAACUCGCUGUGAAGAUGCAGUGUACCCGCGGCAAGACGGAAAGACCCCGUGAACCUUUACUAUAGCUUGACACUGAACAUUGAGCCUUGAUGUGUAGGAUAGGUGGGAGGCUUUGAAGUGUGGACGCCAGUCUGCAUGGAGCCGACCUUGAAAUACCACCCUUUAAUGUUUGAUGUUCUAACGUUGACCCGUAAUCCGGGUUGCGGACAGUGUCUGGUGGGUAGUUUGACUGGGGCGGUCUCCUCCUAAAGAGUAACGGAGGAGCACGAAGGUUGGCUAAUCCUGGUCGGACAUCAGGAGGUUAGUGCAAUGGCAUAAGCCAGCUUGACUGCGAGCGUGACGGCGCGAGCAGGUGCGAAAGCAGGUCAUAGUGAUCCGGUGGUUCUGAAUGGAAGGGCCAUCGCUCAACGGAUAAAAGGUACUCCGGGGAUAACAGGCUGAUACCGCCCAAGAGUUCAUAUCGACGGCGGUGUUUGGCACCUCGAUGUCGGCUCAUCACAUCCUGGGGCUGAAGUAGGUCCCAAGGGUAUGGCUGUUCGCCAUUUAAAGUGGUACGCGAGCUGGGUUUAGAACGUCGUGAGACAGUUCGGUCCCUAUCUGCCGUGGGCGCUGGAGAACUGAGGGGGGCUGCUCCUAGUACGAGAGGACCGGAGUGGACGCAUCACUGGUGUUCGGGUUGUCAUGCCAAUGGCACUGCCCGGUAGCUAAAUGCGGAAGAGAUAAGUGCUGAAAGCAUCUAAGCACGAAACUUGCCCCGAGAUGAGUUCUCCCUGACCCUUUAAGGGUCCUGAAGGAACGUUGAAGACGACGACGUUGAUAGGCCGGGUGUGUAAGCGCAGCGAUGCGUUGAGCUAACCGGUACUAAUGAACCGUGAGGCUUAACCUU
rnacentral:rRNA from 1 species